GUCCUUCGGCAAAUGGACAAAGUGUAUACAGAAAUCGAGUGAUUAUGUCAAAAAAUGAUGUAUGUCUUUUUUGACAAUUGCUUAAAAUAAAUUCUACACCGACAGAGCGGGCUGUUAAUCUAGAGGCUGGAGUACAAAGAAGUGGCACAAUGAUGUGGGCUGAUGACAUUUAUAAUUAUCAAGGAAUCACCCCUACAUUCGCUCAGAAUUUUAAUGAAACUGUCCCUUGGGAAGGAAGAACUGAUACCUUGAUAUCACGGUUUGUACAUCCUAUAUAUACGACAAAUUUUAGAACAUUAUAUAACGAAGAACCAGAUCGUCGUGGCCAUGUGAUGUGAAUAAAAGGACUUGAAUUUGAUGAUAUUUUUAUAAUGUUAGAUAACAUAACUAAGUAUCUUCACAGUAAGAUAGGAUGACAUGGUUUACAUGAUCUUAAUGUUGUUCACUUGAGUGAUGAUAUUAUAAGGAAAAGUGUAAUAUCACAGGAUAUUUAUGUUUAGUAACCAGUAAUUCAGAGAUUGGUAUUCAUGGUUACUAUAACGAGGCUGUAGAAACGCACCCUUUCUUCUUUGCAAAUGGUCCUGUAUUUAUGUCUAAGCCGAAACUGGAACCUCUGAAUAAUUUAGAUUUAUUCUUGUUAUUUUCUAAAAUACUUAUCUACAGUAUACCAUAAGGAAUGAUACCGUAUCGCACCUAAUCAAGUGCCUUAAGAAACAUCAACAGGAUAUCACAGUAAUCCCUUAUCGACAGAUAUUUGUAGCCACUACAAUAUCUAUGACACUGGUAGUAAUUAUAAGAACAAUAAUGAUGUUCUAUAAGAGGAAAUGAUGAUUAGGAACAAAAACUUACAGGAGAUAUCAUGCGGUGGAUGGAUAAUAUGUAAAAAAUAUUAUAUAAGAAAUAGCAUCAUGACAAAGAAUAUAUAAAGACAGUUUCAUUUUU